ACAACGUUCGGACCGCUGGUCUACCGAGCAAUAUCACCCACUCGGUGGAAUACUUUCCCUUCAUAAU
rnacentral:pre_miRNA from 1 species